GUAGGUGGCAAGCGUUGUCCGGGAAUUAUGGGGCGUAAAGCGCGCGCAGGCGGUUCUUUAAGUCUGAUGUGAAAGCCCACGGGCUCAACCGUGGAGGGUCAUUGGGAACUGGAGAACUUGAGUACAGAAGAGGAAAGCGGAAUUCCACGUGUAGCGGUGAAAUGCGUAGAGAUGUGGAGGAACACCAGUGGCGAAGGCGGCUUUCUGGUCUGUAACUGACGCUGAGGCGCGAAAGCGUGGGGAGCAAACAGGAUUAGAUACCCUGGUAGUCCACGCCGUAAACGAUGAGUGCUAAGUGUUAGGGGGUUUCCGCCCCUUAGUGCUGCAGCUAACGCAUUAAGCACUCCGCCUGGGGAGUACGGCCGCAAAGGCUGA
rnacentral:rRNA from 1 species